CCAGAAGGCAGCUAUCUGCAGGCCAGGAAAAGGCCCCCACCAGAACCCAAAUCUGCUGGUCCCUUGGGUCUCACACUUCCAGCCUCCAGAAUGGAGGAAUAUGAGCCACAAUUGUAUGAAAAUCUUUCCUGGACACCUUCGGAUAAGAUGAAAUAAACUUGGAGAAUGGCAUCUGUGUUGGAAGAAAGUUCUGGACUCCACAGUGGCUUGCUCCAGAAAAGCCAAACCAUCAGCUCUCUUGACAGCACAGAGAAUGCCAGUGUGUGGGAAACAGACCGCGGUCACCCUGAGCGGCAAGGGGCUUUCCAGUGCUUAGGCUCUGAAUGUGAAACAUUUUAGAAAGAGAUGAAACAAUUUUUUUCGCUUGUAUUUUCCUAUGUGUUUGAAGGUCGAUAGAUGAUAAAAAUGUGUCUGAAUAAGUCUGAUUUAGUCUCAAAGAUCUCUUUCAAUAAACCUAAACAUUUCAAACAGAUAAGACAGGAUUGUGUGAUAGUUUAAUUGGUGGUUGUUUUUCUUUCUUCAUGGUACAUAAGUUAACAGUGCCUCUUUUAAAGGUUAAGUCUCAAAUUUGAUAAAAUACUACGUGGUUGGCAUCAGGAAGCUAGAAUGCUCCAAAUCAGGACAAAAGACCAUGUCAGAAUAAUAUCUGGGCCCCAGG
rnacentral:lncRNA from 1 species